GGAGAGGUGGCUGAGCGGUUGAAAGCGGCGGUCUUGAAAACCGUUGUCCCGCAAGGGAUCCAGAGUUCGAAUCUCUGCCUCUCCG
rnacentral:tRNA from 1 species